rnacentral:lncRNA from 1 species
AGCCCGUCCACACAUCGAUCUGAAGGAACGUGCCUUGACGGGAGCAGUGUUAACAUAUUCCUGACCCUCCCCCUCGCAAGCUUCUUCGAACUAAGUCCGAGUGCCUGGGUCUCGGUUGGACCGUGGGGAGCGUGCUGUGGACUUGUUUUGGAUUCUGCGCUAAGUUCCUGGUGGAAAUGAAUAACCGACCAAAUGGGUUUAAUCAUGAGAGGACUGGCCAGAAACGCUUAAGAGAUAUGGAUGAGGUGGAGAACGAAUGCCUGCCGAUAUCAAAACGCAUCAACAGUUUGUCCCUCAACACAUCACAUGCUCACGCGGGUGGCUGGCCGGCGGCCGGCACCUCGUCACAGGCCGGCGC